rnacentral:miRNA from 1 species
UUGAACUUCUCAGGAACAGGCUAG